UAGAUGGCAAUGCAUUUGCAGUACAAUCUUUUCUGAUAGAGUUUUCAUACUAAUCUUCCAAUUUAAUAUGGUUAAGUACAAAACCUCUAGAACUGAAGAGUUCCCACAAAUUCUAAUAGAUUCCGCGUCCAAUUCCAGUUCCAAAUAGAAAAUUGGAGAUGCCCAGUAGAGAUUAAGUGUUGGUAAUAACAAGAUUAAAAAGAUGGAAGUAACUUCUUCGAAUUUUCAAGAAGUCUUGAUAGAAUUGGACGACGUUUUAAAGAAUGCAUCAUUCAUUGGAAUUGAUGGAGAAUUUACAGGCCUUCAUUCGGGACCUGAUCCUGGUGCCUUUGAUACACCUGCUCAGUAUUACGCAAAAUUGAGAGCAGGCUCAAUGGACUUUCUUCUUGUACAGUUUGGCCUUUCUGUUUUUACAUUUGAUAAAGAAGCGAAUAAGUACAAUCAACGAUCAUAUAACUUUUACGUUUUUCCACGGCCCUUAAAUUGUGCAGCUCCGGAUUGUAGAUUUAUGUGUCAAACGUCAUGCUUAUCAUUUCUGGCUAAUCAAGGAUUUGAUUUUAAUAAACUUUUCAAAUUGGGUAUUCCUUAUUUAACUAUGACCGAAGAGGAAAAGUUAACAAAACGUUUAGAGAAAAGGCAAAAGCUCAAAGAGGAGACACCAGAAUUAGUACCAAUUACAGACGAUGAUAAACCACAAAUUGAAGAUAUUUGUUCGAGGAUACAAGAAUUUACCGAGUCUGAGACUGAAGAAUUGACGAUAGAAAAAUGUAACGCUUACAUGAGACGACUCGUACAUCAAGAAGUAAGAAUAAGAUGGCCAAAUAAGUUGAAAGUUGAAAAUAGAUUAGAAAAUUUUGGGUGCACUCUUGUAGUACAAAGAUUAGGAACCAAAGAAGAAGAGGAAGAGAAAGAAAUUAAGAGAAAGGAGAAAGAAAAGUUAGAGAUUCAACAAGCUGUUGGAUUAAGUAUGCUUAUGAGAAAAAUUGCAGACUCUGGGAAGUUAAUAGUUGGUCAUAACAUGUUGUUAGACCUUUGUCAUAUAGUCCAUCAAUUUUUCGGACAAUUACCAGAAAAUUAUUUGGAAUUUAAGGCACUCGUCCACAGCCUGUUCCCUAAAGUUUUAGAUACGAAAAUAAUUUGUCAUUCACAGCAGUUCAGGGAGUGCGUACCAUCGUCAAAUUUAAAUAUAUUACUAGAAACAAUUAGUAAAUCCCCGUUUAAAGUUCCAGAAGUAGAAUCUAUUGAUGGCAGAGGUUAUUCUAUGUUAGCAGAAAAAUGUCAUGAGGCUGGUUAUGAUGCGUAUAUUACUGGAAUAUGUUUCAUUGCAUUAUCAAAUUAUUUAGGUUCUUUACAAACACCUGAAAUUUCAGUAGUCCUAUCAGAUUCGCCUCUACUUGAACCGUUUUUAAAUAAACUUGUUAUAGCAAGAUUAAAAGAUAUUCCAUAUAUAAAUCUCACUGGAGAUGAUCCAAACCCUAGUAGAGAUCACGUGUUCCAUUUAACAUUCCCAAAAGAGUGGAAACUUAAUGAUAUAUGUCAGUUAUUUAGUCCAUUCGGAGGUGUUCAUGUGUCAUGGUUAUCCGAUACGACAGCGUACGUAGGAUUAAAUCGUCGUGAACAAGUUAACGCAGUAGUAAAGAAUCUACGUAAAACAAACGUAUAUCAGAUUAAAAGGUAUGCUGAAUAUCAAGCAACGUCAGAAGUGAACCUCACUACAGGAGAACGCAAAAGAAAAUUAUCUCCAGUUGAGCCUGUUCCAGUGAAAAAAGAGAAGACCUCUGUGCCAAUGAACGGCGUGAAACCAGAACCGGCCGACGAUGGGUGGCAAAUAGCUACAGGAAAACGGCGCAGGAAGCAGAAGAAUCCUCUGGAUGCUAAUGCUGCUCGUGGAUCGGACCAGAAAAAAAUUUUUGCUGAGACUCAUUCGUGGGAUUAAUUCGUUCAACUACAAUUCUUAGAACAUAUCACACCACAUACUGUAUGUUCAUUACUUACUUGACACGACGUUCUGAGAAAGGAAAAAGGAAUUUGUGAUAAUCUCUAGAAGACAAACUACUGAAGAUUUGAAACGAGAUCAUCACCAUAAGGUAUAUGUAUGUUUCCAUAAAGAAUUUUGCAAAGUUAACAAAAAAUUUCACAUUGACAAUAUUGAUGUUUAAUAUUAUUUUCGCGGAGCACAAGUAUGCAGUCUGCUUCCAACAAAAAUCACUGGCGAACUGUGGGUUGCAGGUGCUUGGAGGUACAACGAUGGAGGGGAGUGCAUAAAUCAAUACUGGCUAUGCUUUUGAAUGUGCGCUUUCAAUAUGAUACAAGAUGCAACAUUUAAAGAAACUAAAAGUCUCUUGAAGUAUGAAAAUGAGAAUAAUGGAUAUUGAAAUAUAAAAGUCUAGAAAUACAAAAAUAAUUUGAUUUAUCGAAAAAGGCAGUCUCUUUACUCGAUGGGACUGAGUCUUUUCAUGGAACUCGAAUCAGAUGUGAAACUCUGUUCAAGAGUAUCUAUUUUGUGAUACUAAAUGUCCCUCAAGUGCAAUAUACUGCCAUUCCUUGUACAACUCCGUUUCUUGUGAUCUGUUAAACUAUUGUGAUCCCCCUGCAUUGGGAUAUUAUAUUUGAAUACAGAUUUCAAAGAUACUAAUACUACAUUCUUUUGUUAAAUUGAACUCAAGCUUAGCGAUAAACAUGCAGCUUUACUCUCGUUACAACUUCGUAUGAUCCAAUGAGUGGCCCCGAAAGGGACCGAUUACUGCCGGAAGUUACACCAGGAGUGGGUCAAUAUGGCCACCCCUAGUAGAAACACACGUCCGCAAUCUCUUUACAAUAUUGUCCUGUACCCGCCGCAAUAAGUCAGGUGUGAUUUUGGCAACCGCGCCGUGGAUGCAGGCUACCACCUCCUCCGGCGUGGUCACGUCAUCACAGUACACCUCAUUCUUCAACAAUUAAAAUAAAAUGCAAAUUGUUAAUUUUUGAAUUGUUAUCAGUCGUUAAUUGUGAAUAGUUAUCAUACCUUCAAGAAUCCCCAGAAAAAGAAGUCUAGCGGAUUCAAAUUCGGGGAUCUUGGGGGGUCACGCAACCGGUCAAUCCACCUGUCUUGGAAGGCUUCGUCUAAGUACGACCUGACAUUAGCGGCAUAAUAAGUAGGCGCACCAUCAUGUUGCAA